AUAAAAUGGCAUUAUAUGCCAUGGCAUGAUACUGCCCCUUUAAAGUGUGACAAAUAGUAAAUCUGAAGAAACUGAAAGAACCCGAAUAAAGAAUGAAUUACAAUAACAUUUAAUUACCUUUUGGGAUUAAUUAAGUAUUUUUGAACUGAGUUUUCACAAUGUAUGUGUGCUAAUUGGUUGAAAACAUAAUCUAAGGUUAGUAACAUCCUAGUAAAGCUUCACAUCUUUUCCUUGUUUACGAAUAAGGAAAAAAUGUUUUAAAAUGAAAUUAAAGAGAACUUUAACCUCCAUUUGAACUCAUCCUCCGGGUGUUUCAGCCUCUGGUUUUAACUAACAGAUCUUAUCCUCAGAAGCCCGUCUGAGUCCCAAGAUGCUGCCAUGAAGAUCCAAGAGCUGUGUGUGUUUUUCAUGCCAGUUUGCGGCAGCAGCACUGCUGUAGUUAUCACACAAAGGGUCUCGUGUUGCUGCAGCCUGGGAGGCCUCUGAAGUGAAGCGAGCUGCUGAGUCACAACCCUCUGAACUCACAGUGAACUUCUCUCUGCUUCCUCCAUUCUUCUGGACUGGCGCAAACUCAUUUUUUCUUCAAACAUUUCAUCUGUGCUUCGCAGUCGGGGUCACUGCUGCAGGUCCUCAUCCCUUUUUUGUGCCAGUCAGAUGGAUUUAUGUUUGUGCUGACUAAGCUUUGCUCCGUCGUCGUUCCUGCCAAGUCAAAUGCCACGGCGUCUCGUGAAGGAUUAAUCACACUCAGACACACACAGCCUCACCGGCAGGCUCAGGAAAACAGGAGGAAAAGGUGUGUGCAUGUGUGUGUGUGUGUGUGAAAGCACUCUUCCUCACACACUAACUUUAUGGGCAAAGUUUCAUAAGCGUGCUGUUACAUGUCCCUAACAGGGUGGAGAUUUUUUAAAGAGAUUCUCAAACAUGUUGCUGCAAAAGCUUGACUAAUAUUACCAGUUAAAAUGUAAAAUACAGGCUGCAGUGAUGUUAUAGUCGUUACACUGCAAAAACGCAAAAUCUUAUCAAAAUUUUGAUAACCACGCCUGGUUGUCUGCAGGUUUUGGGAUUUUUGUUUUUGUUUAUUUAGAAACAAAAAACUUUUCUAGA